AGGGAGCUUUGUGAUUGGCUACCUCUGCUCUGGAGCGCUUCGUCGGUGUGGGCACUCUGUGUUCUGUACGUGGACGCCUUUAAUCCUUCCAACCCCCAGAGGUGUCCCCAGAGGUGCCGUUUACAGUUGAGGAAUCUGAGGCUCCGAGGUGAGUGACUGCUGCCCAGUGGCAGAGCCACGGCUCAAACCUGACCGUGAGCCCGGUGUCGCCUGAGCACUAGGCCUCUCUGGGGCUGGGUAGGUGUGCUCCUCCCGUUACAAAGAUGGGGAGAUCGAGGGAGAGGAGGCUUAGUCUGCCAUGGGUUUCUUUUCCCAGAGGCUCGAGAGACAUGAUCAGAUGGUGCUAAAUUUCUCAAACACUUCACCCGGCAUCGCUGGCAUCUGCUUGGCACCCACCCUGGGGGCUCAACGGAAACCCUGCUCACAGAGGGAAGAAGCCCUGCCUCAAAGGCCACAGCACGUGACCAGCCACAGUGGUCCUGGUGUCUGGCUUUCAGACUGAGAGCAAACACCGAGGAAGGGAGCACAGGGGAGGCAGCUCACAUGACCACCUUCCUCCUGAAAAUCAACACCUGAGCCUUCCCGGCUGUUGGCUUCUAUUCCAGAAACCGUCUUCAUUUCCAAGUGCUCUGGUUCCCACAUCCAGACCAUGCACACAGUGGGUCUUUAACACAUGGGUGCUUCUUGGCCCUGCAGAGCCCUGCUUGAUGAAGGGGAGAUGAAAAGCUGAGAGCCGGAGGCCAGCUGAGAUGCAGGCAAGCCUGUGGGGAAAUGGCUGUGUCACCUGUGAGACAAAUAUUUUGCCAAGCGCCAGAAAGACCUGUAAUAUGCAGUGAGCACCCGCCCGAAGUCCAAAACGAAGCCAUCUGUUUGGGAAGAGUGCAACCUGGAAACACUGAGGACCCCUAAAGACAUACUGUGUCCCCUCCAUGUGCCAUCACUUUUGUUUUAUAAAUGGUUAAGAAACUUA